UAGGGAAUCUUCGGCAAUGGACGAAAGUCUGACCGAGCAACGCCGCGUGAGUGAAGAAGGUUUUCGGAUCGUAAAACUCUGUUGUUAGAGAAGAACAAGGACGUUAGUAACUGAACGUCCCCUGACGGUAUCUAACCAGAAAGCCACGGCUAACUACGUGCCAGCAGCCGCGGUAAUACGUAGGUGGCAAGCGUUGUCCGGAUUUAUUGGGCGUAAAGCGAGCGCAGGCGGUUUCUUAAGUCUGAUGUGAACGCCCCCGGCUCAACCGGGGAGGGUCAUUGGAAACUGGGAGACUUGAGUGCAGAAGAGGCGAGUGGAAUUCCAUGUGUAGCGGUGAAAUGCGUAGAUAUAUGGAGGAACACCAGUGGCGAAGGCGGCUCUCUGGUCUGUAACGGACGCUGAGGCUCGAAAGCGUGGGGAGCAAACAGG
rnacentral:rRNA from 1 species